rnacentral:rRNA from 1 species
AUGAACGCUGGCGGCGUGCCUAAUACAUGCAAGUCGAGCGAACAGACGAGGAGCUUGCUCCUCUGACGUUAGCGGCGGACGGGUGAGUAACACGUGGAUAACCUACCUAUAAGACUGGGAUAACUUCGGGAAACCGGAGCUAAUACCGGAUAAUAUAUUGAACCGCAUGGUUCAAUAGUGAAAGACGGUUUUGCUGUCACUUAUAGAUGGAUCCGCGCCGCAUUAGCUAGUUGGUAAGGUAACGGCUUACCAAGGCGACGAUGCGUAGCCGACCUGAGAGGUUGAUCGGCCACACUGGAACUGAGACACGGUCCAGACUCCUACGGGAGGCAGCAGUAGGGAAUCUUCCGCAAUGGGCGAAAGCCUGACGGAGCAACGCCGCGUGAGUGAUGAAGGUCUUCGGAUCGUAAAACUCUGUUAUUAGGGAAGAACAAAUGUGUAAGUAACUAUGCACGUCUUGACGGUACCUAAUCAGAAAGCCACGGCUAACUACGUG